CUCCAGGAGAAGACCACCUUCCCACU
rnacentral:piRNA from 1 species